CUUUUUACCUGCUGCUUCACUGUACGGCAAGACGUCUGUAAAACUGCAUGAUGACCACAGUCACUCACUACAGCUAAGCUAACGUUAGCUGGUCACCAUCAGCAACAAUCCCACAGGAGACGUCCCUCGUCGAUGACAUCAUCUCUCAGCGUGGGAAGUUGAUGGAUCCCUCGCCAUUUUGGUGCCCGUGGUUUUGAUGAAGUGGUGAGCAGGUAGCUGAGGGGGGAGGGCCGGCUGCUGGCUAGAUGAUGAAUGCGCUGCUCUGCCUAGCGUCCUCCCUUUUGUUAAUAGAGAGAUAGAACCACAUUGGCACCCUGCGAUCGCCACCCCUCCCCCCCCCAGCUGCAUCCAUGACGUGGUCAUAAAUAGGCACAUACAGAUCUAAAUCCCUUGGCAUCUGGACAGGGUCAGAGAAGCUUUGUAAUUGUUUACCUCAUUACAAAGACGGAACUGUUUUUGUACCGUGGUGCCCUUGGGAUGAAGUCCCUCUGCCUUAAUGCGGGGCUCACACACCAAAUUGUGAGUUACAAUCCUUUGACCAUCCUACCUUUUGUGGGUUGAGAUGACUGCUACUGUACAAACUUCACCUUUUGGCCCUCAGCGGGAAAAAAACCCUCUUAAAUGAUCAUUAUAACACUCAGCUAAUAUUAGUAACUUCAUGCCUUGAGGCAGGAAGUGGAUCGUCCUCCUUCUCCUCCUACUCAAUUGGUCAAGUUCACACCCCAAACACUUGUCACUCAGUGUGAUGAGCUGUCUCCUUUGAAGCAGCAUCUAGCCUCGGGCUGAGAGAUCCAGCAAUGAGUAGACUGAUGAAACAGACAGAAAGGGAUUUUGAAUGUAUCUUUGUGUGAUCUGUCAUGCAACACAUUACUAGGGUACAUAUGACAACAACACAA